ensembl:lncRNA
CUUUUGAGGAUCUGAGGACCCAUGCCAAAUCUUUUUUGUUUCCUGAGGGGUAAAGGUGUUGUCGUGCCCUCUUCACAACUGUCUUGGCAUACUGUGGCUUUUCCCGCCCAGGGGAGAGGAGUCAGGAUCUCUCUGCGGUUGCUACAGGAAACUGGGGCUGUGGUGUGUUCGGUGGAGACGCUAGGUUUAAAGCUCUGCUCCAGAUUCUGGCAGCCUCUGAGGCAGGCCGAGACGUGGCCUAUUUCACCUUUGGUGACAGCGCCCUGAUGAAAGACGUCUACGACAUGCACUACUUUCUCACACAGAGACAUGUCAGCGUCGGGGCUCUGUACAGUUUGCUGGGUCAGUACUACAGCUCAAUGUGUCAGAGCUGCUUCACCCGCCGUCCUGACAUCAGCCUCUACUCCUUCAUCUACCAGGAGGCCAGCUCUGUCUCCCCCUAGACCAGAAACACACACGCAGGUCGGCUCCCCUAGAAGAUCGGAGACGCCACGUCACACAGGUCGGCUCCGCCUAGAAGACCGUAGAUGCCCCCCCCCCGGACACAAAACAAGCGCUGUGCCCCGCGAGAGAUUCCAGUGGAAGUUUGUCUUGUCAUUCUGCUACUGGUAGCUGAUACGCACAUGGAUAGAGAUUCGAUGUGUUGAGAUUUGUGAUUUGGAAUGGUAAAGCCAAAGGCUGUCAUCCAUCUUGUGAGUGUGUCAUGUUUCCUUGGUUUUACCCCCCAACAUAAAUCCAGACUAAAUGAAUCAGUUGUCAGAAAUUCAGUUGAUGGAAAGAAUGAAUAGAGCCGUUCUUAGAGGGUAUUUAAAAAAUUUUUUAAAAAACGUUUUAAUUUGAUCAUAGGGAAAUGAUCUUUAGUCUUUAGGCUGGUUACUCUGUUCUCCACUGGAGAGAAGCUGACUCUGUGUGGGGAUGAUCACUUAAAGUGUGUGCUGUGAUCAUUUAUUUUAUUUUUCAAAUAUUUCAGAUUACCAUGGCCCUGGCCAUGGUCCUCUAAGUGGAUAUAUUACCAUGGGCCUAGCCAUGGUCCUCUAAGUGGAUAUAUUACCAUGGGCCUAGCCAUGGUCCUCUAAGUGGAUAUAUUACCAUGGGCCUAGCCAUGGUCCUCUAAGUGGAUAUAUUACCAUGGGCCUAGCCAUGGUCCUCUAAGUGGAUAUAUUACCAUGGCCCUAGCCAUGGUCCUCUAAGUGGAUAUAUUACCAUGGCCCUAGCCAUGGGCCUCCAUUCAGUGGAUAUAUUACCAUGGCCUCCAUUCAGUGGAUAUAUUACCAUGGCCUCCAUUCAGUGGAUAUAUUAUCAUGGCCCUAGCCAUGGGCCUCCAUUCAGUGGAUAUAUUACCAUGGCCUCCAUUCAGUGGAUAUAUUACCAUGGCCCCCAUUCAGUGGAUAUAUUACCAUGGCCCUAGCCAUGGGCCUCCAUUGAGUGGAUAUAUUACCAUGGCCUCCAUUCAGUGGAUAUAUUACCAUGGCCUCCAUUCAGUGGACAUAUUACCAUGGCCUCCAUUCAGUGGAUAUAUUACCAUGGCCCCCAUUCAGUGGAUAUAUUACCAUGGCCCCCAUUCAGUGGACAUAUUACCAUGGCCCCCAUUCAGUGGAUAUAUUACCAUGGCCUCCAUUCAGUGGAUAUAUUACCAUGGCCUCCAUUCAGUGGAUAUAUUACCAUGGCAUCCAUUCAGUGGAUAUAUUACCAUGGCCCUAGCCAUGGGCCUCUAUUCAGUGGAUAUAUUACCAUGGCCUCCAUUCAGUGGAUAUAUUACCAUGGCCCUAGCCGUGGGCUUAAGUGGAUAUAUUAUUUGUUAUUUUUGUGCCACAUACAGGAAAUAAUGUGAACAAGUGUACUUAAUGACACCCUGUCCAAUAAUAUAAUUAGAUUUUCAACUCUAAGUAGUUGUCUGACUGUAGGAAAAGUGAUUUAUUAAGAUAGUGCUGUAUGCCUCAACAUCUUAAAACAUUGAAAAGUGAGAAAUUGGUUUUGAAUUGUUUUAUGUGAUUAUGGAUUUUUGGGGGGAGGGAUAAUUAAU